rnacentral:rRNA from 1 species
UACGUAGGGUGCGAGCGUUGUCCGGAAUUAUUGGGCGUAAAGAGCUCGUAGGCGGUGUGUCGCGUCGAUCGUGAAAACUUGGGGCUUAACCCUGAGCCUGCAGUCGAUACGGGCAGACUAGAGUGCUGUAGGGGAGACUGGAAUUCCUGGUGUAGCGGUGAAAUGCGCAGAUAUCAGGAGGAACACCGGUGGCGAAGGCGGGUCUCUGGGCAGUAACUGACGCUGAGGAGCGAAAGCGUGGGGAGCGAACAGG